CUGGGGAAUCUUGUAGAUGCUCAAUAUGUCUGCCAUUUGGAGGGAGGUAUCAAAGUCCAGUCCCCCAAUAACUGCCACCAGGUGUUUCUGGGUGCCGCACUUGUAGUUGGGUAUAAAUGUGGAGGGAAGGUUCAGAGCAGCCCGAUAGGUCAUCCUUUCAUUGAAGUAACUGUCAUAGAUGUGGAAUCCUAAGGUGAUAUUUGGUAAGAUCUUGGGGUUCUCAUUGAUCUCCUUGACAGCAAAUAUCAAGGCCAGAAUAUGCUGGUAGUUCUUUGGCACAACACUGCAAUGAGAAUUUCAUGCUAUAUUUUUGAAAUAUAUGCUAUGCAAUUUAA